CCAUUGGCCAAAACAAUAGAAAUUGAAGGAUUAUUGAUGCAAAUACUUAUUUCUCUUACAACUUUUCACCCUGGAUACAAUUUAACCCGGCUUAGUGGGAACGAUCAAAAACGGAUUAAAAACGGGUCGAAGAAAAAUGCCGUUUCCAUUGACUCACUUGAAAAACGGAUAACUUUUAACCCGAAUCUGUUUUAACCCAGGCUAGUGGAAAGGCUGCCUAAGAUUCUUUCUUAAUUUACAACUAGUUUGAAAACCCUUGCUGGCAAGUAAAAGAUGGGAAUUUUUAAAAUGGGAAUGAAGAAAAAUUUCUGAAUGAUGCCUUUCAUUUGUUGUGACUGAAAUUGAAUCUUCUACCCUUUGUCUUGUAACAGUUCCUGUGUUCAUUUAUAUAUUGUAGUAAAAUUUAAUGUUUUCUGGAAGUUUGGUAAGAACCAAAAUAGUAAGAUAAUGUCAAUGUACUUAAUUCUGGAACAAGGUUAACAUUUUGCUAGUCUUUUGUGUUCAUAUAGUUGACCAUUUUAUUUCAAAUAGUUAAUUUCUAACUGAAUGAGCAACUUGGUUUUCCUAAGACAGACUGUCACCAAAAAACGUUUUCGAAAGCUCAAUAGAAUACAUUAUUGAUGGUUGCUGUGAAUCCUUUCUCUUCUUAGAGACGAAGUAUGGAAACAGGAAGAUGUUGUUUCAGUGAAAGAUGCUUUGAAAUAUGGACUUACUGAAAAAUUAGAAGAAAAAACAAGAAAAAAGUGCGAUGUCAAGAGCGACUUGAGGGUCACUGUUGUUGCUGAUUACAUCAACGAUCGCAAGGAAGUCUCGGCCUUAAUGCAAUGUAGUAAAGGAUCAAAUUCCAGAAAAAGGAAG